UUAAAUUGAAAAAUCAUUUGAUCAUCCACCGCCACUUCUCUUCCCUUCUCCUCGCCGACCACCCCCACCGGCGAUUCGCCCACCGGCCGCAGCCCCCUUCCACCUUCUCUGAUGCCAUCUCCAUUUCCCUCUCUCCCCCACGGUGAUCUGACCUCUCGGCGAUUCGACCCACCGGAUAUGGCCGCGAUGGGAUCUGCCCCUUUCACUCCGAUGGCACCUGCAUUCGAUGCUUCCCUCUUCCGGCGGCGACGCCAGUCACCUCCGCCAUCUCCCUCAACUGACACGCGCAGAAACAACAUUCCGCCGCUUUCCUUGGGGUCGGCGAAAUCGUCGGCUCCUCCCUCUCUUUCACGCAAUACAUGGUAAGAAUUGUAUUAGGAAAAAACCCAUCGUUUUUGUAAAGUUUUGAUCUUUUGCUUAGAAAGAAAAAAUUUUGGAAAGAAUUUUAACAAAGGAAGCUUAAACCCUAAAUUUUUUUCUAUAAAUUCAUUACCUUGAAUUAUUAACGCCACAAUCGUAAAGUUCAUAAACUCUUCUUCACACACACAUCGUUUUUUCAUCUUCUUUGCUAUUGAAAUGACUUGAAAUAAAUGAUAGAAUUUUUUUUCAUCCAACUACUUUCAAUUUUUCUCCAAUAUAAGAUUCUUGCAUUGUUUGGGUUCUGCUGUGUACUAGAAUUUCUGCGGCUGCUAUGGGACUGUUGUAGAUGCUGCAAACAAGGUAUUUUCUUUCAAUUUGGUUGAUUUUUAUUCUUGAGAAUCCUCUUUUUAUAAUUUAGUUAAACAAAUAAAUAGAGCUAAUUGCAUCACUUAGUUUAUUGAGUCAGUUGUUUCUUUUUAGAAUCUUUGCAUCCAAAGAUCAACAUAUUUAAGUCCACAUCAGUUCACACAGUUUUGUGAAGCUUGAUUACUCUGUUUCAUUUAGUUUUUUUAUGCAUAUUCUAUCUCUGAUUUCUCUUUCUUCCUGUUUAAAAAGUUCUGACAUCAACAAGGAAAAAAAAGUAGAAUCGGUGAUUGAUUAGGAGCUGGAAACUUACAUUAUUUUCAUUAUACGGUUGCUCUUUAUUUGAUUGCAUAUGCACAACUCCUAUGUAGAAUGCAUAAUCCUUUUAAAGCAAAAAUUCAGCAUUUUAAGAAAUGUAAAACGAACACGGUCUAGAUAAAAGGAGUGCAACUAUUAAUGUGAUAGUUUGAACACUAUCCAAAUGGGGUAAAGACGUUUGGUAAGGAAAUACUUUUAGAUUUCGAAUGUAAACUGUUGUAGGUUGUGUGUGUGGAGUUUAUUACGUUGAUUAUUUAUUAUCCUAAGCUUGUGUCUCUCAAAUGUUGUAAGGGGAAAAGAAAGCUCAUAGGGCUCCAUUUUCCUGUUCUCUAUGUUUGCUUUUGGUUGCAAUAUAGUGCGAGGUGGGAAGUCUUUGAAUGCAUUAUAAGGGUUUUCAUCAAAGGCCCAUAUGACAGACCAUUGUGUGUUGAUUCUUAAUCCUGCUCCAUAUUGUCAAAUUGCAGAGCAGGAGUUUCAAAGAAAGGUGUUGGUCUGAAUAAUUUAUUCUUAACUUUUGCAUUGCAGAAUUAAACAUAGCUAACCCUGCAUGCAGACAUGAGAAUUAUCUGUGUUCUGCUUUUUAAUUUGAUUCCCGCACUAUGAGCAUAUAUAACUUUUCUCUGUACAAAUGUUACAAUUCCUAUGUAUGCACCUCUUUCAGGAUUUCUUUCUCAUAUUUAGAUCGAGUCUGAAAUCUUUAUCUGCUUCUAUGAGUCGUGGAAAUCUACCAUCUUGGAAAUCGGGUAUUGCCAGCCAUGGGGGACUGACUGCCAAUGCAAACUGGAGAAAAAGAUGGUAAUAAAAAAACAUCUGUUUCCUUGAGCUCAUUAAUGAUCCAGAUUCUUCACUUAAUUAACAGAGGUUAUUCUUCUUUGAUCGACUGUACGCAAAAGGGGAAACUGGCAAUUAAAGAAUUCAUUGUAAAUUGUGAUCACAUUGAUUUUAUUUUUUUAUUUUUUGAAUUGUAUGUUUUUUGGAAGUAGUCAUUCUAUUAGACAACACCUUUUAAUUGAAUUUGAAAUUCAUACGAG
rnacentral:lncRNA from 1 species